AUUGAACGCUGGCGGCAUGCCUUACACAUGCAAGCCGAACGGCAGCACGGGCUUCGGUCUGGUGGCGAGUGGCGAACGGGUGAGUAAUGUAUCGGAACGUACCAUUGAGUGGGGGAUAACGUAGCGAAAGUUACGCUAAUACCGCAUAAUCUCUCCGAAGGAAAGCAGGGGACCGCAAGGCCUUGCGCUCUUUGAGCGGCCGAUAUCAGAUUAGCUAGGUGGUGGGGUAAAAGCUCAACAAGGCGACGAUCUGGAGCGGGUCUGAGAGGAUGAUCCGCCACACUGGAACUGAGACACGGUCCAGACUCCUACGGGAGGCAGCAGUGGGGAAUUUUGGACAAUGGGGGCAACCCUGAUCCAGCCAUGCCGCGUGAGUGAAGAAGGCCUUCGGGUUGUAAAGCUCUUUCGGCCGGGAAAAAAUCGCAUGGAUUAAUACUCUGUGUGGAUGAUGGUACCGGAAUAAGAAGCACCGGCUAACUACGUGCCAGCCGCCGCCGUAAAAC
rnacentral:rRNA from 1 species